UACAGAGGUGGCGAGCGUUGUCCGGAUUUACUGGGCGUAAAGGGUGAGUAGGCGGCUGGGCAAGUCAAGGAUGAAAUCCCGAGGCUCAACUUCGGAAUUGUCCUUGAAACUGCUCAGCUUGAGGGUAGUUGAGGAGAGCGGAAUUCCCGGUGGAGCGGUGAAAUGCGUAGAUAUCGGGAGGAACACCUGAGGCGAAGGCGGCUCUCUAAGCUACUCCUGACGCUGAAUCAAGAAAGCUAGGGGAGCAAACGGG
rnacentral:rRNA from 1 species